rnacentral:rRNA from 1 species
GACGAACGCUGGCGGCGUGCCUAAUACAUGCAAGUAGAACGCAGUUUCGCACGGGUUAGUCACGCGUUUGUAACUGCCUCAUAGCGGUGGAUUACUAUUUGAAACGAUAGCUAAUACCUCCUCCUGUGUGAUGGACCUUCGUUGUAUUAGCUAGUUGGUGAGGUAAAGGCUCACCAAGGCGACGAUACAUAGCCGACCUGAGAGGGUGAUCGGCCACACUGGGACUGAGACACGGCCCAGACUCCUACGGGAGGCAGCAGUAGGGAAUCUUCGGCAAUGGAGGGAAGUCUGACCGAGCAACGCGGCGUGAGUGAAGAAGGUUUUCGGAUCGUAAAGAUCUGUUGUUAGAGAAGCGGUAACUAAAGAGAAAGGGACGGCUAACUACGUGCCAGCAGCCGCGGUAAUAG